rnacentral:rRNA from 1 species
GAUGAACGCUGGCGGCGUGCCUAAUACAUGCAAGUCGAGCGAACAGAUAAGGAGCUUGCUCUUUUGACGUUAGCGGCGGACGGGUGAGUAACACGUGGGUAACCUACCUAUUAUACUGGGAUAACUUCGGGAAACCGGAGCUAAUACCGGAUCAUAUUUCGAACCGCAUGGUUCGAUAGUGAAAGAUGGUUUUGCUAUCCCUUAUAGAUGGACCCGCGCCGUAUUAGCUAGUGGGUAAGGCAAAGGCUUACCAAGGCGACGGUCCGUAGCCGAUCGGAGAGGGUGAUCGGCCACACUGGAACUGAGACCCGGUCCAGACUCCUACGGGAGGCAGCAGUAGGGAAUCUUCGGCAAUGGGCGCAAGCCUGACGCAGCCACGCCGCGUGAGUGAUGAAGGUCUUCGGAUCGUAAAACUCUGUUAUUAGGGAAGAACAUACGUGUAAGUAAAUGUCCACGUCUUGACGGUACCUAAUCAGAAAGCCACGGCUAACUACGUG